rnacentral:misc_RNA from 1 species
AAGUUCUCAACCAUAUCUUUUGUUGAUGUGGCUUGGAUAGUGGGGGCUUAUAUUUGCAGGCUUUUGAAAAGAAGUCUGCUCCCCUGAAAUGAAUUAGUGGUAUCUAAGCAGAGACUACUAUAGGUGUGAUAACUAUCUAUGCCUUGGUAUAUACUGUAUAAACUGCUUCUAACAACAAAAGUUGACCA